rnacentral:rRNA from 1 species
UAUUGGACAAUGGGCGCAAGCCUGAUCCAGCAAUACCGCGUGUGUGAAGAAGGCCUUAGGGUUGUAAAGCACUUUCAAUUGGGAGGAAAACCUGCCGGUCAAUACCCGGUAGCUUGACAUUACCUUUAGAAGAAGCACCGGCUAACUCCGUGCUAGCAGCCGCGGUAAUACGGAGGGUGCGAGCGUUAAUCGGAAUUACUGGGCGUAAAGCGUGCGUAGGCGGUUCGUUAAGUCAGAUGUGAAAGCCCUGGGCUCAACCUGGGAACGGCAUUUGAAACUGGCGGACUAGAGUUUAGUAGAGGGGAGUGGAAUUUCAGGUGUAGCGGUGAAAUGCGUAGAUAUCUGAAGGAACACCAGUGGCGAAGGCGACUCCCUGGACUAGAACUGACGCUGAGUGCGAAA